rnacentral:rRNA from 1 species
UAGGGAAUCUUCCACAAUGGACGCAAGUCUGAUGGAGCAACGCCGCGUGAGUGAAGAAGGUUUUCGGAUCGUAAAGCUCUGUUGUUGGUGAAGAAGGAUAGAGGCAGUAACUGGUCUUUAUUUGACGGUAAUCAACCAGAAAGUCACGGCUAACUACGUGCCAGCAGCCGCGGUAAUACGUAGGUGGCAAGCGUUGUCCGGAUUUAUUGGGCGUAAAGCGAGCGCAGGCGGAAUGAUAAGUCUGAUGUGAAAGCCCACGGCUCAACCGUGGAACUGCAUCGGAAACUGUCAUUCUUGAGUGCAGAAGAGGAGAGUGGAACUCCAUGUGUAGCGGUGGAAUGCGUAGAUAUAUGGAAGAACACCAGUGGCGAGGCGGCUCUCUGGUCUGCAACUGACGCUGAGGCUCGAAGCAUGGGUAGCGAACAGGAUUAGAUACCCUGGUAGUCCAUGCCGUAAACGAUGAGCGCUAGGUGUUGGGGACUUUCCGGUUCUCAGUGCCGCAGCAAACGCAUUAAGCGCUCCGCCUGGGGAGUACGACCGCAAGGUUGAAAC